GACUGGAUCAGAGUUGGGGUCGGGGGAGAGGGGCUGGGUGGUGCUCCUUCCCUGCCCCCUGUGUGGAUAGGCCCAGGCCCCCACGUGCCCCUCCAAAGGUUCCUCCAUGCCCCCAUAGGGGGACACACCCCACAGUUUGGGGACCUCUGCUCUAGCCACUAGAGGGAGGACAAAGAGCAACAGUUAGUGUGCGUUAUAUGCAGUGAUAAGCUGCCAAAAGCUGAAGAACCGGUUCCUCCACUCGCUCUGGGUCUUCGGCCGCAGGUUCUUCAGUCGCUCCGGGUCUUCAGUGGCACUGAAGGGCCCACUGCUGAAGUGCCGCCGAAGCCCCGGAGCGUCACCGGGUGAGUAAAAAUUAAAAAGGGAUUCUCAGGGGAGCCUCCCCAGCCGAGAGCUCAGGCGGGCCAGACAGGACGGAGUUUGCCCACUCCUUUAACAACCGGUUCUAAAUCGGCUUCAAAAUUUAACAACCGGUUCGUGCGAACUGGUGCGAACCGGCUCCGGCUCACCACUGGUUAUAUGGAGACAAAGAUCGCAGUUUCACAAGAGGAACACUUCAUAGCUCUUCAACCAUGUUGACAUUACAAUCUUGUACCAUAGCGGGAAAGAUGAAAGCUGACCUGGAGCAAGACUGGUAAUGGCAAGACUGGAUGCAAAAAGCUACAAACAUACGGAUAAAAACAAUUUAAAUUGUGGAGAUCCCCCUAUGGAGAUUCCUGGUGAAUUCAUGAACAAACUGGAAUUGAUUUGAGGAAGAUGCCCAAGAGGAAUUUGGUUGGAAGUUGGUUCAUGGAGAUGUAUUUAGACCUCCAAGGAAGAGAAUGCUAUUAUCCGUCUUUUUGGGUCAAGGAACACAACUUUUCAUUAUGACAUUUAUUAUUCUAUUUCUAGCUUGCCUUGGCUUUCUUUCUCCUGCCAACCAAAGAGCUUUGAUGACCUGUGCAGUUGUACUGUGGGUCUUGCUGGGAACUCCUGCUGGUUAUGUAUCUGCUAGAAUGUAUAAGACAUUUCGAGGUGAAAAGUGGAAGACAAAUGUUUUGCUGACAGCUCUGUUGUGCCCUGGAAUUGUCUUUGCUGAUUUCUUCAUUAUGAAUCUUAUUCUGUGGGUGAAGGGAUCAUCAGCUGCCAUCCGCCUUGGCACACUGUUGCUAUCCUGGCAAUGUGAUUUGGAAUUUCUGUCCCAUUAACCUUUAUUGAUGCAUAUUUUGGAUUAAAAGAAAAGGCAGUUUUUGAGUGCAUUGUUUAAGUGUGUCUUAUCUGCCACUCAGUAUAAUACUUUUCUGUUCUAACAUCAAGUAUUUAUUCAUGCGGAGUUAGUG